rnacentral:rRNA from 1 species
UACGAAGGGGGCUAGCGUUGUUCGGAAUCACUGGGCGUAAAGGGCGCGUAGGCGGCUUUAUAAGUCGGGGGUGAAAGCCUGUGGCUCAACCACAGAAUUGCCUUCGAUACUGUAGAGCUUGAGACCGGAAGAGGUAAGUGGAACUGCGAGUGUAGAGGUGAAAUUCGUAGAUAUUCGCAAGAACACCAGUGGCGAAGGCGGCUUACUGGUCCGGUUCUGACGCUGAGGCACGAAAGCUAGGGGAGCAAACAGG